rnacentral:rRNA from 1 species
GACGAACGCUGGCGGCGUGCUUAACACAUGCAAGUCGAACGGAAAGGCUCCAGCUUGCUGGAGUACUCGAGUGGCGAACGGGUGAGUAACACGUGGGUGAUCUGCCCUGCACUUCGGGAUAAGCCUGGGAAACUGGGUCUAAUACCGGAUAGGACCGCACUUUGGUGUGUGUGGUGGAAAGGUUUUUCUGGUGUGGGAUGAGCUCGCGGCCUAUCAGUUUGUUGGUGGGGUAAUGGCCUACCAAGACGGCGACGGGUAGCCGGCCUGAGAGGGUGGACGGUCACAUUGGGACUGAGAUACGGCCCAGACUCCUACGGGAGGCAGCAGUGGGGAAUUUUGCACAAUGGGGGAAACCCUGAUGCAGCGACGCCGCGUGGGGGAUGAAGGCCUUCGGGUUGUAAACUCCUUUCGCUAGGGACGAAGCUUUUUGUGACGGUACCUGGAGAAGAAGCACCGGCUAACUACGUG